UGGCCGCGGUAUUUUGACCGUGCGAAGGUAGCAUAAUAAUUAGUCUGUUAAAUGUAGUCUGGAAUGAAGGGUCUGACGGGGGGCAACUUUCUUAUUUUUAUUUUUGAAUUUAAAUUAUUGGUAAAAAUGCUAAUAUGUUACAGUAGGACGAGAAGACCCUAUAGAGCUUUAUAUUAAACUAAUUUUUUGUGGGGUAAUGUAUUAGAUAAUAUUUUGUUGGGGCGACAGCAAAUAUAAAACAUUUGUGAAAAUUGUCUUUUAUAUAAGGUGGUUUGAUCCAUUUUUAAUGAUUAAAGACUAAGUUACCUUAGGGAUAACAGCGUAAUUUUAUCUUAGAGUUCUUAUCGAUGAUAAAGAUUGCGACCUCGAUGUUGGAUUAGGAUUCCUUUUUGUGGCGCAGGAGUUUUGAAAGGUAGUCUGUUCGACUAUUAAAUUCCUACA
rnacentral:rRNA from 1 species